rnacentral:tRNA from 1 species
GCCGGGAUGGCGCAACUUGGUACCGCGCAGGUCUUGAAAACCUGUUUCCUUACGGAUUUCUGGGUUCAAAUCCCAGUCCCGGCG